AAUACCCUAUUAUUUUAAAAGUAAUUAAAUAAGCCUAAUUAGUAAUAGUUAAGUUCUUGAAAAUUAAAGAAUUUGGCGGUAUUUUAGUCUAUUCAGAGGAAUCUGUCCUAUAAUUGAUAAUCCACGAUUUUUUAUACCUAAUUUAUUAAUUUACAUAUCGCCGUAGUUUGAAUAUUUUUUGAAAAUUAUAAUAUUCAUAAUUUAUUUUGAUAAAAGAGAUCAGGUCAAGGUGUAGUUUAUAAUCAGGGAGAGAUGGGUUACAAUAAAAAUAUUUAUUAUGGAUUAAUUAAUUAAAUUUUUUUAUGAAGGUGGAUUUGAAAGUAAUUUUAUUUA
rnacentral:rRNA from 1 species